AUUGUAGCUCGCUACAGAUGACGACCGGCGCACGGGUGCGUAACGCGUAUACAAUCUACCUUAUACAGAGGGAUAGGCCAAAGAAAUUUGGAUUAAUACCUUAUGGUAUUUUCUAACACAUGUUAGAAUUCUUAAAGCUCCGGCGGUAUAAGAUGAGUAUGCGUGAUAUUAGCUAGUUGGUGAGGUAACUGCUCACCAAGGCAACGAUAUCUAGGGGUCUGAGAGGACUACUCCCCACACUGGUACUGAGACACGGACCAGACUCC
rnacentral:rRNA from 1 species